rnacentral:tRNA from 3 species
GCCUUUGUAGCUCAGUUGGUAGAGCAGAGGACUGAAAAUCCUCGUGUCGAUGGUUCGAUUCCGUCCGAAGGCACCA